GGCCUUUCUCCCACGGGGCUGUGGCAGGUCCCUUUUCUCCUCAGCCAGGGCUAGAGGCCAAGAUCAAGCCCUGAGGAUCAUUGUCGGGGCUGUCAUGAGCUGGGCAGCCUUGUUUUCCUGCCUCAGACAUUU